rnacentral:lncRNA from 1 species
UGUGGCAGGCACUGUGUUGACAUAUCCAGUAUAGGAGUGCCCUGGGAGCCCAUCUCUCAUUUCUGAAAGAGAUAGCAUUGUAGAUCUGGACGUUUCAUCACAUAUUCCCAGGAAGGCCCAGCCAAAUGCAGCUGGUAAGUUGCUGAAUGUGGAAUUCCUCUUGGCCUUCCAACUCCUUGCACUCUUCCUUCUGGGACUACUUUGGUUUUUCAGUUUAUUACCUGUUUGGAGUUGGCUUGUUUCUGGACUCUCUCUUCUGCUCAGGUGAGCAGACUUCUAACUGGAAUACCUGGCUCUUGGACAAGGCACUGUGCCAGACAUUGGGCUAGGUGCUGGGAAUUGAAAUAAUAAACUAUUUCCUGAUUUCUCUUCUCUCUUCUGGAGAAAGAAUUGGAUUAGAACAAGAUGAUACGCUGAGAACCAAAUCUACCCUGUCAGCUUACUCUUCAAGAACAAGCCAAGCAACUGAAAACUGAGUCCACGCUCAGCUAAGUCAAAGCCCAGGGGAUUACUGGCAUCACCACCCACCCCACCUGGAGCAUGACAAUGUCUGUGAGAGAAUAAGAGAUGGGUGGUGUCACCACUAUCUUUCUCUUUCUGUUCUCCAAAUUAUAAUAAUAACAGUCUCUUUUCCUCC